UACGUAGGGUGCGAGCGUUGUCCGGAAUUACUGGGCGUAAAGGGUGCGCAGGCGGCGGUUCGCGUGGCGAGAUGAAAUCUCCUGGCUUACCUGGGAGGAUGGUCGCCAGACGGGAUCGCUUGAGGGUCGGAGAGGGGCGUGGAAUUCCGGGUGGAGCGGUGAAAUGCGUAGAUAUCGAGAGGAACACCUGCGGCGAAGGCGGGUAGCUGGGCCGACACUGACGCUGAGGCGCGAAAGCCAGGGGAGCGAACGGG
rnacentral:rRNA from 1 species